GGGCGAGUGGCGGAAUUGGCAUACGCGUGCGCCUUAGGAGCGCAUGCCGCAAGGCUUGGAGGUUCAAGUCCUCUCUCGCCCA
rnacentral:tRNA from 1 species